UGUGGAAGGUAUGUCUGAUUGCAUGAAG
rnacentral:piRNA from 1 species